AAUUAUGUGAAGACCAGGUAGAGUGCCAUGGCACAUUUGUAGAAGGUACUUUGAAGAAGAACUCUAUAAUUCAGCACUUUUUUCAGUCUGUCAUCUGAGAGCAAAGGCUGUCCGGCUGUCUGUCAGUGAAAGAUUAGUUGCUUAGCUCACACAGUCUCCGCUCUUCUGUCACAAAGGGCCGGGCAGCUGUCGGAGCCAUCCAGAGGCAUCACUCACCACUGAUGAACAUAUCAGUCCAGUCCAAGCACUCUCCCAGAAGCUCCUCACGCUACCAUGAAGAAGAGGGAGCUCACAGCAUUGAUCCAGACACACCCGGCUCCUUGCCAUCCAUCAUAAGACCAACACUCCCCUCACGCUGCUCAAGGUCCACGCGCCCUCCUUUCCGCUUUUAGCCGCUCAGGACUAUCAGCUAGAUGCUUGAUAGAUUCCCAGGGA